rnacentral:rRNA from 1 species
GGGCAGCCAAGUCGUGAGGCGGAGCUAAUCCCUUAAAGCCAUUCUCAGUUCGGAUUGUAGGCUGAAACUCGCCUACAUGAAGCUGGAGUUACUAGUAAUCGCAGAUCAGAAUGCUGCGGUGAAUGCGUUCCCGGGUCUUGUACACACCGCCCGUCACACCACGGAAGUUGGGGGCGCCCGAAGCCACUUAGCUAACCCUUUUGGGAAGCGAGUGUCGAAGGUGAAAUCAAUAACUGGGGUGAAGUCGUAACAAGGUACC